rnacentral:lncRNA from 1 species
AAUUGUUAAAUCUCUACGAGCUUCGGAUGGAGCGUUAACGCGUGGAUCUCGCGUGAAGACCGUGGAUUCGGUAGGCGUUUCGUGGAGUCGAGGCGUGUGUGGCUGGAAGGAUUUGCAGUGUGAUCGGUUGGAGGAUUUCAAGCGAUCGAGGACUGGCAAAGAUGUUCUACAACGAGAAUUCGGUAUUUCGAGUCUUGUAUUUUUGAUAAAUCACUUGUACUUAUGUUUUCUUAGUGGAUUUCUUUGUGUGAUCGGUCCCGUGGGUUUUUCUCUCCGGUUUGGAGUUUUCCCACGUUAAUUCUCGGUGUGCUGAUUUUAUUUUUCCGCAUUC